rnacentral:rRNA from 1 species
UCUUUGACCUCGGAUCAGGUAGGGAUACCCGCUGAACUUAAGCAUAUCAAUAAGCGGAGGAAAAGAAACCAACAGGGAUUGCCCUAGUAACGGCGAGUGAAGCGGCAACAGCUCAAAUUUGAAAUCUGGCUCCUUUGGGAGUCCGAGUUGUAAUUUGCAGAGGGUGCUUUGGCAUAGGCGGCGGUCUAAGUUCCUUGGAACAGGACAUCGCAGAGGGUGAGAAUCCCGUACGUGGGCGCCUGCCUUUGCCGUGUAAAGCCCCUUCGACGAGUCGAGUUGUUUGGGAAUGCAGCUCUAAAUGGGAGGUAAAUUUCUUCUAAAGCUAAAUACCGGCCAGAGACCGAUAGCGCACAAGUAGAGUGAUCGAAAGAUGAAAAGUACUUUGGAAAGAGAGUCAAAAAGCACGUGAAAUUGUUGAAAGGGAAGCGCUUGCAGCCAGACUUGCCCGCAGUUGCUCACCUAGGCUUCGGCCUGGGGCACUCUUCUGUGGGCAGGCCAGCAUCAGUUUGGGCGGUUGGAUAAAGGCCUCUGUCACGUAUCUCUCUUCGGGGAGACCUUAUAGGGGAGGCGUAAUGCAACCAGCCCGGACUGAGGUCCGCGCAUCUGCUAGGAUGCUGGCGUAAUGGCUGUAAGCGGCCCGUCUUGAAACACGGACCAAGGAGUCUAACAUCUAUGCGAGUGUUUGGGUGUCAAGCCCGGGCGCGUAAUGAAAGUGAACGGAGGUGGGAACCGCAAGGUGCACCAUCGACCGAUCCUGAUGUCUUCGGAUGGAUUUGAGUAAGAGCAUAGCUGUUGGGACCCGAAAGAUGGUGAACUAUGCUUGAAUAG